GUCACGCCUACAAGGCAGGCUGAGAGAGGACCCUGAAGACCCGAGAUCUAGAUGCACUGUCUCUCUUGGUUCCUGGACCCAGGACACUGAAGGUAGACCGAGAAGAGUUCUACAGAGAACACCGCCAGACCCUGCAACCUAUCCCUUCACUUAGUUGCAAAGCAAAAUUAACCAUUUAAAUAUUGGAGGGAAUGGCACAGGGGAGGCCUCUCCUAAAACCCUUCCUGACCAUGCUGAAAAGAAAGCCAGUGUGAAAGAGUGAGGAUGCUGGGAGAGGAGAAAGAGCAGAAGAGCCGAGGCUGAGAUACAGAUUACUGUCAAGAAUACAGACUAUGAGCAGUUAGCAACCGGAACAGCAGGUGCACAUGGGAACUACCCAGACAAAGCAGGAGCCAUAGGUUUCCGGACACAGCUGCUGUCAAGGAAAGAAGCCUUCACUUUAACAUUAGUAAAAUCCAGCAUUGCCACGAGAAAAGGUACAGUAAUGUGUACACAGCAUUGGAAGGGACUCAGUGUCCAAAAGUGAGGAAAGUGCUUGACACAGGAGCCAAUCUCUGUCCAUACCAAGAGACAAUGCUGAGCAGCUUACCUACCCCUGAUGACAUUCCCUCACCUCCUAAGGGAUGAGUAAGAAUACAUGAUCUUCAAAAUCAUCUGUAACUCUGGUGCUUUAAGAUGCCAUUUUUGUCACGGGGUUCACAGCAGCUGGAGAGAUGGCAGUGAUGAAGAGGGCUUGCUGCUUUUGGAAAGGGCCAGAGUUUGGGUCCCAACUCAGUCACCCAACACUUCAACUCCAGGGGAUCCAAUACCCUCCUCUAGCUUCCACAGGUACCAGCAUUCAUGUAAACAUGCACA